GAUGAAGAACGUAGCGAAAUGCGAUAAGUAAUGUGAAUUGCAGAAUUCAGUGAAUCAUCGAAUCUUUGAACACACAUUGCGCCCGCCAGUAUUCUGGCGGGCAUGCCUGUCUGAGCGUCAUUUCAACCCUCAUGCCCCUAGGGCGUGGUGUUGGGGAUCGGCCAAAGCCCGCGAGGGACGGCCGGCCCCUAAAUCUAGUGGCGGACCCGUCGUGGCCUCCUCUGCGAAGUAGUGAUAUUCCGCAUCGGAGAGCGACGAGCCCCUGCCGUUAAACCCCCAACUUUCCAAGGUUGACCUCAGAUCAGGUAGGAAUACCCGCUGAACUUAAGCAUAUCAAUAAGCGGAGGA
rnacentral:misc_RNA from 1 species